rnacentral:rRNA from 1 species
CCUAAGGCGAGGUCGAAAGACGUAGUCGAUGGAUAACAGGUUGAAAUUCCUGUACUAUCCUGUAACAGAACUGUGGGGACACAGGCAGAGAGCGUGAGCCGGGAAUGGAAAGACCGGUACAAGCGAGGUAGGAGAAGAGUUGGCAAAUCCGCUCUUCAAUCUGAAGACGUGAUGUGGACUGAAAAUAAGUAGGGAAGCACGUGAGCUGACUGUCAAGAAAAGCCGCUAUUGUUUGCAGGAUACCCGUACCGUAAACCGACACAGGUGGAUGAGGAGAGAAUCCUAAGGCCGACGGGAGAAGCAUUGUUAAGGAACUCGGCAAAAUGACUCCGUAACUUCGGGAGAAGGAGUGCCAUGUAAAAGUGGCCGCAGAGAAUUGGCCCAAGCAACUGUUUAGCAAAAACACAGGUCUAUGCAAAACCGAAAGGUGAGGUAUAUGGGCUGACGCCUGCCCGGUGCUGGAAGGUUAAGGGGAGAGGUUAGCGCAAGCGAAGCUUUGAACUUAAGCCCCAGUAAACGGCGGCCGUAACUAUAACGGUCCUAAGGUAGCGAAAUUCCUUGUCGGGUAAGUUCCGACCCGCACGAAAGGCGUAAUGAUUUGGGCACUGUCUCAACAAUGCACCCGGUGAAAUUGAAAUACCAGUGAAGAUGCUGGUUACCUGCGCCAGGACGGAAAGACCCCAUGGAGCUUUACUCCAGCUUGAUACUGGGAUUCGGUAUUGCAUGUACAGGAUAGGUGGGAGGCUAGGAAAUGGUAACGCCAGUUGCCAUGGAGCCAAUGUUGGGAUACCACCCUUGCAGUACUGGGUUUCUAACCAGCAGCCGUGAUCCGGCUGGGGGACAAUGUCAGGUGGGGAGUUUGACUGGGGCGGUCGCCUCCGAAAGGGUAUCGGAGGCGCUCAAAGGUUCCCUCAGAAUGGUUGGAAACCAUUCGAAGAGUGCAAAGGCAGAAGGGAGCUUGACUGCGACACCGACGGGUGGAGCAGGUACGAAAGUAGGACUUAGUGAUCCGGUGGUAUAAAGUGGGAUUGCCAUCGCUCAACGGAUAAAAGCUACCCUGGGGAUAACAGGCUUAUCACUCCCAAGAGUUCACAUCGACGGAGUGGUUUGGCACCUCGAUGUCGGCUCAUCGCAUCCUGGGGCUGAAGUAGGUCCCAAGGGUUGGGCUGUUCGCCCAUUAAAGCGGUACGCGAGCUGGGUUCAGAACGU